rnacentral:lncRNA from 1 species
UUCUUUGAUCAUUUUUUGGAAUUCCUACUCUGCCUUCGAUAAGGUUGGUGUUUGGGGGGCAGAGGUGGAUUUAAUGUUGUUGUUGUUGUUGUUGUUGGUAGUGGUAGCGCGUUUACUGGCAAGGGAGGAAUGGAAGAAAUGGGGAUAACAUCGAUGGCGUUCGUUGAUAGUUGGGGUGCGCUUGAGGAAGCCAUUGCUAGUGGAGGAGGAGGAAAGUUUCAC